rnacentral:rRNA from 1 species
UACGAAGGGGGCUAGCGUUGUUCGGAUUCAUUGGGCGGAAAGGGUGCGUAGGCGGCGCGGUAAGUCGGGUGUGAAAUCUCGGAGCUUAACUCCGAAACUGCAUUCGAUACUGCCGUGCUUGAGGACUGGAGAGGAGACUGGAAUUUACGGUGUAGCGGUGAAAUGCGUAGAUAUCGUAAGGAAGACCAGUGGCGAAGGCGGGUCUCUGGACAGUUCCUGACGCUGAGGCACGAAGGUCAGGGGAGCAAACGGG